rnacentral:rRNA from 1 species
AUUGAACGCUGGUGGCAGGCUUAACACAUGCAAGUCGAACGGUAACAGGAAUUAGCUUGCUAAUUUGCUGACGAGUGGCGGACGGGUGAGUAAUGCUUGGGAAUCUGGCUUAUGGAGGGGGAUAACUACGGGAAACUGUAGCUAAUACCGCGUAAAAUCUUCGGAUUAAAGGGUGGGACUUUCGAGCCACCUGCCAUAAGAUGAGCCCAAAUGGGAUUAGGUAGUUGGUUAGGUAAAGGCUGACCAAGCCGACGAUCUCUAGCUGGUCUGAGAGGAUGACCAGCCACACUGGAACUGAGACACGGUCCAGACUCCUACGGGAGGCAGCAGUGGGGAAUAUUGCACAAUGGGGGGAACCCUGAUGCAGCCAUGCCGCGUGAAUGAAGAAGGCCUUCGGGUUGUAAAGUUCUUUCGGUGACGAGGAAGGUUGAUAGGUUAAUAGCCUAUCAAAUUGACGUUAAUCACAGAAGAAGCACCGGCUAACUCCGUG